CAUUCAGCAUGUAGAACACGCUGGGCAGAGCCAAAAUGGGGAAGAACAUGUUGAAGAUUCCAAAACCCUUGAUUUCAUUCAAAUCCACAUAACUUCUCGCUCUGAGCUCCGAUUGACGAUCCGUUUGCGGCCACGCGACCGCGGCGUUGAGCUCUACAAAGCCCAUAAAAUUAUAAGGUUUAAUUUAGCUUGCGGAGCUUAUUGAGCUCGAGUUGUUAUGCGUGUGGGCACGGUGUAGAUUAAGUGGGUAUAUAAGCAUUGGAAUUGAAUUGGGAUUACUUGGAGGUUUGUUGAUGACCAAGGCUUAUUUUGGGACUGUUUGAUUGAGCUUGGAGGGGCUGCAAUUUUGAGUUGUGAGGUUGCCUUGGGUGAACUAAGUAAUCGGCCAAGGUAUGGUUUAAGUUUCGCACGUUUAAUAUUUACGGUGUUGUGAAAACUUAGGUUAGAGGAACCAUAGAAUAAGUUGGAUUGUUUGUUGUAUUUAAUGAUUAGCCUUGUAAUGUUGUUAGAAUAGAUUUGUUAGUGAAUUUAUAUAUUAUAAUUAUGAGGUGUGAAAGUUAUUAAUGGUGUGCUCUUAUAUUUAUUUAUGAUGGAUUAGAAUUGGUGUUUGUUAAUAAGGAUGUAGAGUUGUGUUGUGGUGGUAUUGUAUAUGCUGUAACUAAUUAUGUAAUGAUCAGAAUUGUAUGAGACUAAGUUUGGGCUAAACUUGGGAAUACAAAGAACUAAACUGAAAAAUUUGGGACCUUUUUGUUAAAUAUACAAUUUAUGACAAAUUUUUGAAGUUAGGUUGUUAAAUCUUUCCAGCAGCAGAAAAGAUCAAACAGGGCAGCAACUUGUUUGUCUUGCUGCGACUUCUACGAGUUGAGUUUUGGAGCGAAACCAAUUUUGUUAUAAAAUUUGAUUAACUUGCUUUAUUUCUCUAAAAUUUCAGAAUUUUAAAAGUUGAGGAUUG